rnacentral:misc_RNA from 1 species
AUAGAGGAACUAAAUAGUAAUUUUUCCUGAAUAAAUUUACAAUGAUGUAUACAGUCUAUGAGCAGGCAUCAGGACAAGAGAGUCUACAAAACUUUUUUCAUUGAUCUAGUAUGAUGAUCAAACAAUAUCUAAUUCACACCAGUCGAUCUUAGUUUCCUCAUGUUUGUUCUUUUCUUUUUUGCUGGGGCAGAAUCAGUGGAUAACUUGCUCUGUUUAAACUUCUCAACCA